rnacentral:lncRNA from 1 species
AAAUUUUUUAUUAGCAAAUAUUCCAAAGCUAGUAUUUUGCAAUAAAUUAAGCUAAGCCAAAUUAUUUUGUGUGAAUUAUUGCUCUUAUACAUUAAAAUUAUAAAGGCUCUUAACGAUAUAAUUUAUUAUUUGCAGUAAACAUAUUAUUACCUAUCUCACAGAAAAAAGUGUCAACGGUUUAUUUAAAAAUUUUAAUUAAGAACCAGUGAACCAGUGUACAUAGCUGUAAAAAUGUUCCAACAAAACAUAUUCUUACUGCAAAGUGUAUGAAAAUAAUCUAUAAGGUGGUGAAGGUGGGGUGGUUUUAAGGGCGAAAAUGGUUUUCUGAAAUUUCUGGCUAAACAUUGCAUCGUUUAAAAAAUUCAACGCAAAAGCUGUGGGCGAUAAAAAAAUCUACAAUUUGUGUAGUGGUCUUUUUAUCCUAAUCUCAAAAAAUUUUGAGAAAAACUCAAAGGUAAGUUUUAGGUACCUACUUAAAUUUUUUCUUCUACAAAAAUGAUUUCAUUAUGUUUUGUUUAAAUGUCAAACCCAUUAAUUGAGGCGUUGGUUAGAUGUUUAUUAUAUCUAAGAAUAAAAAAAAUUAUAAAAAUAGCAACAAA